CGCUGCCAGAUCAUGAGGUUCGAAGGGGAUGACGAGCCUGUACUGCUGGAUACGGGCAUGAUUGUGACUGUGUUGAACUGGAACCACAUGGGUAGUGUGUUGGCCAUUGGUGGGUCACAGCGCUACGCAGGAGCAGACAAGAACGUCAAUGUCGUUCAGUUCUAUACACCGUAUGGGGAGCAUCUACGCACACUAAAGGUGCCAGGUCAGAAACUCUCCUCCUGCUCAUGG